UACGUAGGAGGCAAGCGUUGUCCGGAAUUACUGGGCGUAAAGCGCGUGUAGGUGGUGGGACAAGUCUGCUGUGAAAGCGCCUGGCUUAACCGGGCGAGGUCGGCGGAAACUGUCCGACUAGAGGACGGUAGAGGGGGUGGAAUUCCCGGUGUAGUGGUGAAAUGCGUAGAUAUUGGAAAGACCACCAAUGGCGAAGGCACUCUACUGGGCCAUUACUGACACUGAGAGACGAAAGCUAGGGGAGCAAAUGGG
rnacentral:rRNA from 1 species